UACGGAGGGGACUAGCGUUGUUCGGAAUUACUGGGCGUAAAGCGCACGUAGGCGGAUUUGUAAGUCAGGGGUGAAAUCCCGGGGCUCAACCUCGGAACUGCCUUUGAUACUGCAAAUCUCGAGUCCGGAAGAGGUGAGUGGAAUUCCGUAGUGUAGAGGUGAAAUUCGUAGAUAUUAGGAAGAACACCAAGUGGCGAAGGCGGCUCACUGGUCCGGUACUGACGCUGAGGUGCGAAAGCGUGGGGAGCAAACAGGG
rnacentral:rRNA from 1 species